ACUGUGCAAAGGACAGGAAUGGGAAGGCUGGGAUCUGAGUGCUGACUUGGGGCAGAAUUCAGGUCUGAGGCUCUGUGCAAACUGCAGUGGAGAUGCUCAGAAUAACGCGUGACCUGUUAUACAACACGAUGUUAUGUCCGUGUUUUGCACCGCUUGAACUGCUUUGUUCUCAGCACAGCGCCUCGCUGAGUGGAUCCUGCACAAGUAGGGCAGCACUGCUGCCUGCACCACGGUGACUUUCACACCACACUGUACUCAUAUCCCAGCACACAGAUGAGGUUCCCCAGGCCUCCUGGCUGCUGUGAAUCCCGAGCAUCCAAUCCUGCUGGGAUAUACUGGGAUCCAACCAUGGGAGACCGGAGCAGCUCCUCCAGCAGCACCUUGGUGCCCAUGUGGAGAUGGAGGAGCACACAACCAUGUCAAUGGGGCAUCUCACUCCUAAGACAUUCUGGGGUGCGUGGGAAGGUGCAGUGAUCUGCUCCCAUAGCUGAAGGAAGUAACCCGAAGAUUUCAUUAGGGAUUUACAGACAAAUAAAGCAUCGACUGGGAGAUGAGAAAAACAGCGUGCACCCAACAGCCCAGCAGGGAGGAGGUGGAUAAAGAGAACAGUCCUCCGAAGCCAUGAAGAAGAAAUUCCAUGAUUCCUGCUGCUGGGAAGUGAGGCUGUGAAGCUUGCAGGACUGCUCGGUGCCAGCAGAGGGAAGCAUCCCCCCGGCUCCGGGGACAGCUUCUAUCGGCCUUCAGUGCCUGCAGGAGUCCGCAGGAAAGAUGAAGAGGGUCUGUUUAUCCGGGAGUGGAGAGAUAGGAUGAGGGGCAGCGGCUUUCAGCUAAAAGAGAGGAGAUUUAGAUUGGAUAUUAGGGUAAAUAUCCUUACCAUGGAGUUGAACAGGCUGCCCAGAGAAGCUGUGGAUACCCCAUCCAUGAAGAUGCUCAAGGUUGGAUGGGGCUUUGAGCAGUGGGUCCAGUGGAAGGUAUCACUGCCCAUUGGAUGGCCAUUAAGGUCCCUUCCAACCCACACUGUUCUGUGAUGGAUGAUUCUAUGACGACCAGGCAGCUCUUCCAAAAGAGGGCAAGGCAGAGAUGCCCAAAGUGUUUGGAUGCCUCCAUGCACUUCUGCUCAGUGCCUGGAACAGGAGCUGUUGUCUGGGGGCUCCCAAAAGGUAGCAGGGUGAAAGAAGCAAAUCCAGAAAGAGGUUCAGCCCGAUUUUGCCUCUGAUUCGAACACUCCAAGAGCAGGCAGGAUUGACCCCCAAGCAGAGGCACUGCAGCUCACGCGCAGUAUUUCCCCAGUGUGGGAUAAAGUCACGAUUCUCUCCUAUUUGCAGUAUUGCUCUUUUAUUGGUGAUUCUCCUAACGGUGCACCUGGGACAGCAAUCUGUCUACCCUGAGCUUUUUGCACAGCGAGGGCCCUACAAGCUUUGCAGUUUGUGCUUUAAUAUUUUAUCUGCUGGUCCCUGACUGGAAAAGAAAAUCCAACCACUCUCAGUGGAAAUUAUUGGUCCUGCUGUGUGACUCACAACAGAGGCUGUAUCAGGUUUGAAACACGCAGGUGGCAGACAGACACCCGCUGGUUCCUUUGGACUCUUUACAGGCAUUUUUUUUUUCAAUCCCAACCCAGGGGUUCCUCAGCCCACAGCUGAUUUAUUCUCUCUGCUCUGCAGGAAUUAGCUUUGCCUUAUACUUGUGUAGCCAUACAACACACAGCUCCUAUCUCAAAGCACAUCUGGAGGCACCUUGCUCAUCACUGUUUGAACUGUCCAAGAGGAGAUAGAGCAGGGAAGCUGUCUCCCAUCACCCUGCAUGGAUGAUACCAGUGCCUUCUGGGCCACUUUCUCCCAGCUAAUACCCCCAGCAUCAUUUCCAUCUCAUUCAUGCUUGGAAACGUGAAGUGGGACCAUGGGGGCUGCAGCCUCAGGGCAGUGGGGAUGUGUGCAGCCUCUACUGCAGGAUGGGGUGCCUUCAGCCUCACCCCAGCACAGUUAUCACCUCUGAGCUGCCUCUGACUGUUUGCAAUACCUGGAGAGAAAAAAACAAAGGAAGGUAGUGGAUAAUUACUGUUUAUACCAGCUCUGUAAUGUCUUCCAGCUCAGCUGGACCAAACAAAACAACGCCAGGAACUGUCAUUAGGGCUAUUACUGCGUUGUGCUACCGCAGGAUUUCAGAUCCCCUGUGAGGAGUCAGCACGGAGGGAGACCACAGAGAAAACCUGUCCUGGGAGCUGGCAGGAGGCACACAACUCCAGUGAGAAAUAAACUUCGAGUGCCUCGAGCCCUGAGAUGCACCACAGCUGCUGGGAUGAAGCACUACUGUGCUGGCACAGAUCUCUCCAUAGACACUUAGAAAAAUUGGGAUUUCUCUCUUAUCACACCACAGCUCAGCCAAAGCUGAUCUUGCUGCUGAGUUUGUGCUAAUAUUGUUCUUGCAGGAGUAGCAUCACAACAAGAGCAUCCCUGGAUGAGCUGGAGCUUGUUUUCGUCACCUCCGCAGAGCCAUGAGCGUGCCGGGGCUGCUGUGCUCUGUGCACGAAAAGAGGAUUUGGGAAACUGCUCAUUGGGAAAUAGUCCCAUGGGUGCCACAGGGAGAGGUGGGUUGGGCUGCAGAUGGGACAGCUCCAUCUCCCUGUUCCCAUCGCAGUGCCGGGAGAUAGGCAAGGACAUGGCCUGGAGGCUGGGUUCCCAGGGCUGCCUCCUCCGCUGUCACCGGUGUUGUGCAACCCUUCCCUCCUUACAGAGGGUGUGGGUAGGAACCCUCUCACGUGGAUGCAGCUCAGGGUGCAGCUGAGCUUAGGAAGUGGCCAUGCACCAGCACCAGCGUGUGGUCCCUCCUUUGUGCCACGUUCUGCACCGCAGCUGCUCCAGGGAUGCAUCCAGCCCUGCAUUAAGGUCACCACAAAGGUCUACAAGAGAGCGGUGCAGUCGUGAUGUGAGGAUGUUUUAUUGUGCAGCAGCUGUGCUCAGACUGCUGUGCAGGCACAGGCUGUUUAAUGGCUCAUAGAAGGACACGAGCACUGCUUGUUAUCCAGCAAGGCUGAGUUGGAACCACAAAUGAUGCUCUCUGCAUUUUGUCUGCUUUAGGAAAGAGAAGCAUGGCUCGUGCCAGGUGGUGGUUUCAGGAGGAUGGAGAGGAUCUCCAAGCACAUGGGAUGGAAGGUGCGUCUAUGCACGCAGGUGAGAAAGCAGAUGAGGCAGUGGGACUGAGCAGAGUGGAUGGAGAGCUGCAGGAAUGGGCCUGGAGGUUCUCCAGGUCUGACCAAGCUGGAGGGCACCAACACAGCCAGCAGCAGCAGGUUUAAAGCAGGUGAAAGGAAGCAGUUCUCGACCCAGCAUGCAGUUAAACUGGAGCUCAGUGCCAUAGGGCAUGGCCUCAAAAAUGGCCUUUAAAAGACUGAGAUGCAUGUGUAUGGCAUUGCUCUGCUCUGACCUAUGACAUAUGAUGGGUCAGGACCUCCAGCCAAGGAAGUGCUAAGUCACCGACCACCAGAAGUUGGGCAGGAUUGUUUCCUGCUUCCUUCCUUUUAACAGUCCUUCAUAGAACAGAUACUGCCACGGGCAGGACCAUGGGACCAUAGAAUCAUGGAAUCAUUAAGGUUGGAAAAGACCUCUAACAUCACCAAGCCCAACCCAGCCCAUCCCACUAUGCCCACUAACCAUGUCCCCAAGAGCCACAUCCCCACGUUUCUUGAACACUUCAGGGAUGGUGCCCCCACCACUUCCCUGGGCAGACUGAUCCUUCUUUGCUGCUUGCAGAGUUAGAAGGAAGACACCAGCUCCCCAUGCUUUACUCUGUUUUUCUCAAUAAGAAGCAGUGGAUGGAGGCAACCACAGUGAUUUCUCCCUUCCUGACACAAAGGCAUCACCUCCUGCUUUCUGCCCAGCAGGGAAGGGAGUAAAGGCACCCGGGGGGUCUCCCCUCAAGGACUUGGCAGCCUCUGGCUCCCAGGGCUGCUGCCAACACUGCUAUUGGGUCUCUCACCAAACUUGCACAAACCGUCACCAUCUCCUCCUGCCAAAGCUUUGCGCCACUCUCAGAAGGGAUUGCAGUGUGGGAUAAACCCGGUGCAAAGCACUGCCAGGCUUCUGCCAGCUUAGAUGGAAAGCUGCAGACUCAGCUCAAGUGAGAAGGAGUCCUCCUCAUCUCUUUCCAUUUUUGAGUCUCUUUAGAGUCAGGAAUCUUCCAAGUAGGAAAGGAUGGAAGGGUUGGAAGGUGCUGCUGAGAAUGAGGGGAUUUUCUUUCUCCAGAUGCAGAUAGCUCAGGCUUUGGAAAGAGAAUAGUCCAUGUUCAGCCCCUGCACACUCAGCAGCUCCCACUGGUUACGCAAGCCUGAGUCUGCUGCGCAUGUGCAUGACCACACUGAGAAGUGCAUGUGACAGAUGACAGCACUGGCAGAACUUCAUUUAAUUAUCACUGUUAUUGUUGUUCCUAUAAGCAAUUAAAUGUUUUGGUUUU
ensembl:lncRNA